GGGGGGGCUUGCAUGCCCUAAAAUUAUCCGAAGGAUUAGGGUAGACUAAACUAACAAACAUUUGCAAAACAAAUAUUUCAAACAUUAAAUAAAUGUUCAGCUUUGGCAAUUAUAGUGCUAUUAAAAUUUAUUUAUCAGGGAGUAGAUAAUCCGAAUUUCCUGUCUUGCAAAAGGUUUGCAUUUGUAUGAGUCUAUCUCUAAACGACAACAGUAUCAAAUGUUUUUUUUUUUCAAUAUUAAUAAUUGAUAAUACUAUAUCUAGAACUCAUUACAUUCAUAAUGUUUAACUUAAUAACAUUCCUUUUUUGAUAUCUCCUACCCUGAGUGCACAAUUUUUUAUAUGUUAUCAAAUUCAAGAAACAUUAACAACUUUAUGUGAGCUUUAUAUCCUCUUUCAUAAAAAUGCUUUUUUGUAAUCAUGGUGUUGAUGGUGUUAUUUUGUGUUUGACUCAAAUUUUAUUUUUAAAUUAAAAAGGAAAGAAACAAUUAUUUUAAAUGAAAGAAGCUUUUUAAAGGAAAAAGAUGAGACAAAAUCCGUUGUUCUAUUAGUAUGAGCAAUUGUCUAAACUUUAUUACUUAUCUUUUACAGGUAGAACUGAUCAACAACAGAUUCCUAUUUGAAGGCCUUAUAAUACAAAAAUAUGAAUAUGUACAUUAUAAUAAAAAUAAUUUCACUGGUUAAAAAUAAUAAAUUUUACAAAAUUUGCCACAAG
rnacentral:misc_RNA from 1 species